rnacentral:rRNA from 1 species
CUCUACCUACGGGGGGUAGCAGUAGGGAAUCUUCCACAAUGGACGAAAGUCUGAUGGAGCAACGCCGCGUGAGUGAAGAAGGGUUUCGGCUCGUAAAGCUCUGUUGGGAGUGGAGAAAGAUAGAGGUAGUAACUGGCCUUUAUUUGACGGUAAUUACUUAGAAAGUCACGGCUAACUACGUGCCAGCCGCCGCGGUAAUACGUAGGUGGCAAGCGUUGUCCGGAUUUAUUGGGCGUAAACCGAGUGGAGG